UACGUAGGGUGCGAGCGUUAAUCGGAAUUACUGGGCGUAAAGCGUGCGUAGGUGGCCUGUUAAGUCUGAUGUGAAAGCCCCGGGCUCAACCUGGGAAUUGCAUUGGAUACUGGCAGGCUAGAGUGCGGUAGAGGGUAGUGGAAUUCCCGGUGUAGCAGUGAAAUGCGUAGAGAUCGGGAGGAACACCAGUGGCGAAGGCGACUACCUGGACCAGCACUGACACUGAGGCACGAAAGCGUGGGGAGCAAACAGG
rnacentral:rRNA from 1 species